AGACACCAGCCUCCAACCCUCUACGCCGUUUCAGCACUGAGGCACCUGAUCGGUUUUCGAUCCUAGCCCGUUCUCCGAUGACGACGAAGAGGGCCAAGAUCUCACCGCCAGGUACGGCGUGCAGGGCUGGGGACAUGGCAUGUACGGAGGCGAAGGCGCAUGCACGAGGCUCGUCACGUGCCGAGGGCUUGGCUGCAGCACCUGGAUCUUCUAGGGUUUUCGGGUGCUGUUUUGUGUUUUGGGCUGAUUUGGGUCAUUGGGUAUUAGGAAAGUGGGCCGAAUUGGGCUAGUAAUUUGGGUUAUUUUUGGACUGCUGUUUUAUUUAGUUUUUAACCUAUUGGGCCAAUGUAAAUGGACUAAUAAAUUUUGUUUUUAUUUUUAUUGGGCCGGGCAAAUUGGGUAUUACAAUAGGUAAUUUUUUAGUACAUCAUUAGAAUUGAGAUUAUUGUUGAGAAAGGUAAGUAUCAAAUUAAUAAACCAUAAUUUGAAGUUUAGGUCAAAUUAUGUUAUUAGUUCA